rnacentral:rRNA from 1 species
UAGGGAAUCUUCGGCAAUGGGGGGAACCCUGACCGAGCAACGCCGCGUGAGUGAAGAAGGUUUUCGGAUCGUAAAGCUCUGUUGUUAAGGAAGAACGAGUGUGAGAAUGGAAAGUUCAUGCUGUGACGGUACUUAACCAGAAAGGGACGGCUAACUACGUGCCAGAAGCCGCGGUAAUACGUAGGUCCCGAGCGUUGUCCGGAGUUAUUGGGCGUAAAGCGAGCGCAGGCGGUUAGAAAAGUCUGAAGUGAAAGGCAGUGGCUCAACCAUUGUAGGCUUUGGAAACUGUUUAACUUGAGUGCAGAAGGGGAGAGUGGAAUUCCAUGUGUAGCGGUGAAAUGCGUAGAUAUAUGGAGGAACACCGGUGGCGAAAGCGGCUCUCUGGUCUGUAACUGACGCUGAGGCUCGAAAGCGUGGGGAGCGAACAGG